rnacentral:lncRNA from 1 species
UUAUUAUAUGAAGUUCAUUUUUUGAUAUUAUCGUACACAAACUUUCGUUUCGGUAUCAUUUUCAUACAUCCGGUAGUCUAUUGGUUAAGGAAUUCGUUAACUUAUGACAUGGCAUAAAUGGGACAGCCAUUUUUGCAUGACUUGAUGAGAGCUUGCUACAUGGCCUGACAAAUUGUUUAAUUCUAAAGCAAGCAAAUUCAUAGCUGGCCUUUGAUUAUCCAGCCCUUACGGCAAAGCUAGUUUCUAUUAAGAAACAAAUGACAUGAAAUUAUUUGGUUACAACUUUGGACACCUCUAUAUGAAUGAAAGUGAGUUUUUAUCACAAACCCUUUUUCCAUUAAAGGCUCUGCAAUACAAUUCAAUGUUUACAUAACUUCAUAUGAAUCUAGUGGCUUGCAUAUAUAAUUGUUCAUCAACUGAACUGAGGCCAUUAUCGAUCACUGAAAGAGAUAGGCUUCAUGAUAGCUUAUAGCUUGUGUUGUUGUGCCUAAAAACUCUGAGAUCUUUUCAUCGAAAGACGGGCGAACGAAAUCCUCAUAAAGCUGUGCCUGCGCUUGUUCUUCGUUGAUUUUGUCCCACGCAACUGCUUCUGAUUUCUGAGAACACAAACAUCACCAUCGCAUAUGUAACGUUUGCUAUGCGUUUGAGAGGCUUCUGAAAAGCAGCUCAAGAUGUUUGAGAGCAAAGGCAAAGCCAUUGAUAGAGAUGAUUCGAAGCGUUUAACCCUAAGAUUUUUCUCUCUAUUUGCCAAAUCCAAAUACUUAUAUAUACACAGAGGACAGAACACAGAUAGAUUAGCUCUUGG